rnacentral:rRNA from 1 species
UACGUAGGGAGCAAGCGUUGUCCGGAUUUAUUGGGCGUAAAGCGCAGGUAGGCGGUUUAGUAAGUCUUUUGUGAAAGCUCCCGGCUCAACUGGGAGAGGUCAAAGGAAACUACUAGGCUAGAGUUUGGUAGGGGAUACUGGAAUUCCAGGUGUAGCGGUGAAAUGCGUAGAUAUCUGGAGGAACACCGGUGGCGAAGGCGGCAUCCUGGACCAACACUGACACUGAUGAGCGAAAGCCAGGGGAGCAAACGGG